GGAUGAUCGACAUGACAGGGACAGAGAUAGAGACAGAAAAGCAGGGUAUGAUGAUCGCGCAAGAGACGAUAGUCGGGAGAGAGAAAGGGCCCGAGAUCCCCGAGUGCAUAGGUAUGUGUCUGGGGUGCAGGAUGGAGUGUCUGGCAGAAAGUAUCCAGUCGCUAGUGGUUCUCCUUACUAAAAAUGUACAGCGUUAGGGGCCAGG
rnacentral:misc_RNA from 1 species